rnacentral:lncRNA from 1 species
CAAAUCAAAAAAAAAAAAAAGUGUAUAUAGCUGUGAGUUUAAAACACACACAAAAACAGAGGGGGGUGGUGGAGAGAAAAAAAAAAGAUUUAAAAACGAAAAAAAAAAAAAAAGCUUUUAUCGGUGUUUUUAGUUGGAAAGAGCUUUUAGCAAAAACCGUGGUUUUCAUCGUGCUCUGAAUGUAUAUAAAUAUAUAAAUAUAUAUAUACAUUAGUCAUUCCACCUGUUUCCUUCCCUGCAAAAAAAACAAAAUCAAACAACAAAAAAAAAAUGGCUUUUGUUCUUGAUUACUUGAGGUACACAAAGACGUGGGAUUUUUGAUGUUUUUGUUGUUGGUCUGACUGGUUUCGUUGGUGAAGAGGGCGGUGGUGUCUUUCAAGAGACCCUGGGCCGUCCGUCCAGGGGUGGGGGGGAGCCCGUUGCAUGUCCACUCCUGGGUUGCAGAAGUGCAUGCCGGGGGCGUCGGUGGCAGACCCUGGUUUGGGGGAAUUUUUCUCUUUUCUGGGCACGGGUCUCGGUGCAGGCUCAAUGCACACCCAGCCGCAGUGGGGACGUGGGAGAAUACAAGUGUCCUUCUGUCCUCCGGGGCCCCUUUGAAUCUGUUUAGGAAGAUGUGCUUCCCACCCCGGGUCCCUGCCAAAAAAUCAAAGAAAGCCCUCUUGGUGGGGCCUGCCCGGGGCGGUCAAUACCGCACUGUUCAGCUGGGCAGCUGCAGGGCCAUCUUCCCAGGAGAGGACCUGCUCAGCCUUGCUAAUCCGGUGGCAGGAGGACACGUGUGUUUCUCUUGGACUCAGCGGUGAGCCUUUAUUUAUGAGCAAGCCAGGUUUUUUUUUUUUUUAAUCAUUUUUUUUUAAAGUCCCUUUUAAUGUCCCUUUAAGGGAUAUUUUUUCAAGUGUCUCAAGAUGGAAGGAUAUAGUAGGAAAGGUCCCUUUGUCUUUUGGUCUUAGAGGAAAACAAAAAUUCAUACACCCACCAAGAAACAGUAGCCAAAGAAGUUGGAAGAAAACCUACCUGGGCACCGCUGGGGUUAAUUCCAGAAACGCAGUCUCCGAUGAUGCUAGCGUUGAGGUGGACACUCUGCCUUUAGCACCUGCCCACCUUGCAAUAACAACCUUCAACUCCCCAAAUCCCUGCACCGAAAUCCCUGCCGUAGUGGUGUGUCCCAGCAUUGAAUCUGUACCUAAAAGGGAGCUCUUGGGGACACCUGCAUCCCCACUAUAGAUCCCGAUGCUGCUGUCUCCAUCUGGAUUUUGGAGACCUCAGCUCUGUAUAUAAAUAUGUGAAAUAGGAUGACCCUCACCCCCGCACCGAGCACCUGCAAACCACAUUCCCCUGUCCACAGUGAAAUGUCCUGGAUAAGAUGUCCCCGCAAUUUGUUAUUAUUAUUAUUAUAAAUUUUUUUUUUUUUUUUUUUUUGGUUUUCUUGGAAAGCUGUGCUCAGGCCAUUUCUGCAAGAUCCGUAUUCGCCCCAGCUGGUCCUCCUAGCAGAUGGGCUUCUGUCCACUGGCUCGGAUGGUCAGCCUGGAUGUGGGUUGAGUCUGUCGUAGCGUGCACCCCGGUGUCUGUCCGGUACCUCCCAUCCUCUUCUGGUAGCAAUAUGUACAGUCAUGCGUCGGCUUCGUGGCCCCCGGGGUAGAGACAAAGCGUCCCCCGUGUUCCGUGGAUAGACUUUUAGCUUUUACAGAGGAUUAUGAUCCAAAAAGCAAUUUAAUACGUCGCGGAGGAUAUCUUAUUUCUACGGGAAAGAGGUUAUAGAGUCUUCAUAGAGUUCUAUGAGAGGGAAAAAAAUAUACUUGCUAUCUAUAAAAAAAAAAGAGAAAAAAAAGGAGAAAAAAAAUAAGGGAAAAAAAAUACUUUCUUAGGCUUUUAUUCUUGAUCUUGAAAGGCACGCAGGGUUCAAUGGUUCUUUGGGUUAUGAUUCUGCAACUUUUGUUUUUGAUUUUGCCUUAAGUAAUGAUAGAAGAUAUAUAUGGCUGGACACAUAUGUAUAAACUUUUCAGCAACAUUUUUAAUAAUAAAAUAUCACAGUAUUUUCUAA